UACAGAGGGUGCAAGCGUUGCUCGGAAUUACUGGGCGUAAAGCGUGCGUAGGCGGUUUGUUAAGUCUGUCGUGAAAGCCCUGGGCUCAACCUGGGAAUUGCGAUGGAUACUGGCAAGCUAGAGUACGGUAGAGGAUGGUGGAAUUCCCGGUGUAGCGGUGAAAUGCGUAGAGAUCGGGAGGAACACCCGUGGCGAAGGCGGCCAUCUGGACCAGUACUGACGCUGAGGCACGAAAGCGUGGGGAGCAAACAGG
rnacentral:rRNA from 1 species